GCGGGAAUCGAACCCACACCCUUCUGCUUACCGGGCAGGUGCCUUGUCCACUCGGA
rnacentral:tRNA from 1 species